rnacentral:rRNA from 1 species
GACGAACGCUGGCGGCGUGCUUAACACAUGCAAGUCGAACGGAAAGGCCCUGCUUUUGUGGGGUGCUCGAGUGGCGAACGGGUGAGUAACACGUGUGUAACCUGCCCUUGACUUUGGGAUAACUUCAGGAAACUGGGGCUAAUACCGGAUAGGAUCUCCUGCUGCAUGGUGGGGGUUGGAAAGUUUCGGCGGUUGGGGAUGUACUCGCGGCUUAUCAGCUUGUUGGUGGGGUAGUGUCUUACCAAGGCUUUGACGGGUAGCCGGCCUGGGAGGGUGACCGGCCACAUUGGGCCUGAGAUACGGCCCAGACUCCUACGGGAGGCAGCGGUGGGGAAUAUUGCACAAUGGGCGGAAGCCUGAUGCAGCAACGCCGCGUGCGGGAUGACGGCCUUCGGGUUGUAAACCGCUUUCGCCUGUGACGAAGAGUGAGUGACGGUAAUGGGUAAAGAAGCACCGGCUAACUACGUG